CAACAUCAGCAAAAACAUGAACAAAAUGAAAAUCGAACAACAUUGUUUCAUAGUAGCAAUUAAUAAUUUAUACCACGCUGCAAGUAAACAAGGACUGCAACUGAUGAUUCCAUCAUUGAUUAACCUGCCGGUCACCAUUUGGUUUGUAAAAGUGCCAGAAAAUAUAGUGUCACAUGUCCAUCAAAGUGCCUUCCUCAGACUCUGGCUUUGUCCAGAUAAAUUCCCUCUACAGGAUAGAAAACAGAAGAAGCAAAUCCUGACAUGAGAGACACCAGAGCCGGAGAACUGCUGACAUCGUUUGGGGGGGAAAAAAUGACUUCAAAAAUGAUUAAUCUAUUAUCAAAAUAGAAGCCAGACGCCUGACAGUCCAAACCAGACCUGCAGGAAAAAAAACAAGAGACAGCGUGUCCCACGUGACGCACAUGGGGACGAGCUGGGAUCAGGCUUUUCCAGCGUGUGUGCACGCACGCACGCACACACACGCACUUAAAAACAGAUUUGAUGUUGGUGCAGGAAACAAAUAACUGGUAAAACCAGAAGUGAUCUGUUUGAGUGGAGCUGUGCAACGGCUCAGUAAUUUAAACUGAAUGUGUGUGUGUGUGUGUGUGUGUGUGUGUGUGCUGGUUAUUUCUCGGUCUUGAGACUGAGACUGCAUGUUCUUUGUUGGACCUUCACGAUUCCUGCUCAUUAAUGCAGCAAACACCUGCAGCCGUGGCCGAUCAUCGCCAUGCAGCCUGAGGGCGAACAAGGAGAGCUCUUAAAAAAUGGAAAUCUGGCUUCUUCCGAAGGGAUUUGUUUUUUAGAUUCAUGGUUUUCUAAGAAGCCAUAAACUCUUACCACAAACUGUUCAGUUGAGACGAACCUGCACGAAAUGAGCGCAAAUGAUGCCUCAGAAAUCCUGUUGUCAUAACAACUGGAGUGGGAGAACAUGGAUGUUUCCGGUUUAAGUCGAUUCGCACCUAAAAUUGUGUCCCAGUUACACGUUUAGACGCCGGCAGACGCGAGAGACACACGCCGGUGGAUUUUGCGCGCUAAAGUCGCCGCUUGACACGCACGUGACCACCGCAGGUUACAUCCGGCGAUCGAUCCGCACUCACUUGGACGACGAUGAGUCUUUACAGCAGUCGAAUCGGAGCGCUGCGAAGAUCCUCCACAGCAGGUCCAUGCCGCCUCCUCUCAUGGUCCCACCCGGGGAGCAUCGGCCGCUCUGCCCAGCGGCAUCUUCUAGUGCCCAGUUAUUAUUUCCUUCUUCUUCAGAACACGACACGGCUCAGAUCUCUGCGGGGUUUUAAAACAAUCAGGAAGAAACGACGACCCCCCCACCCCCGAAAAAAAGGGACCCUGCACCGCCCCGCUCCAACGCGCGUGUUCAAAUGGAAGGAUGGGCCAUCAUCGUCAUCGUCAUCAUCAUCAUCACGGUGCGCAGACGUCUGAACGGAGCAGCUCCGAGUGAACGCGGAGAGGCGCAGCUGAGGUGAAUCUCGAUCAUCAUUUAGAGCGAGAGAGAGAGACACGUGACCACGAGGAGGGCGGCGCUAAUGGCCUCAAAGUACCUAAAAUAUGAACACGUGGUACCGAAAAGAAGCGGUGGACUUUUCCCCUGGAAGAAGUACUUAAAGUAGCAACCAGAUGGCGACAAUCAUCAAACUUUUGAUCAUUCUCUUUUUUUUUUUUAGUAAGUUAAUUUCCACCAUUAAACAACAACGUACCACAAACUGAUUGUUAACACAUUACAUCCAAAACCUCUAAAUAUCAGAAUAGUAUUGCUUGUAAGAUGUAAAGGAUUUGAUGCCUUGUGAAGAUAAUUGUGUAAUAAUUGCAUCAUGGGUAAUACUGAGACAUUAAAACAAUGGACACAGGCCUAGUUAAAGCCUUAAUUGAGCCGCACCCGUCACCCGUGAGGCGUCUGUUUGCCGCUGUGAUUCAUGGCGCUACGCUCACAGCAGCAGAUAAGGGCUGGUGCAGCCGUUAAACCAGCCCCGGGUAAUAUGACCCUGUCUGCAGAGGCAAGUCGACCAGGUGGAACCGUGCUUUUGUGUUCAGGCAGGUAAAGAUAUCGACAAACAAAGUCGACAGCCACACACACACACACACACUGUGUGGAGCUGCAGUUUGGCCUCUGCAGGUUUAUUUUGGUUUGUGGAGAGGAUAAUGUGGAAGGCCAGAGGCAAACAGUGUUCAUCUGCUUGUCGCACUACAAACAGGUUCUCUUUGCUACGGGGAAAAUGUCACGAUAGAAGAGAUUUCAAAGUUCUUUUUAAGCUCAUGUUUUAAGAACAAAUGCACUUUACUAAGGUUGGUCACCGUAGGGCUCAACGGGCUUAAAUCCCUCCACUGUAUGGACAGGCCUUUUAUUGCCUCUAUUAGACUGAACAGAGAAUUUUUUUUUUAAAUAAAAAUUG
ensembl:lncRNA